AGCAAAGCAACGAUUGAAAACAUG
rnacentral:siRNA from 1 species